UACGGAGGGUGCAAGCGUUAUCCGGAUUCACUGGGUUUAAAGGGUGCGUAGGUGGGUUGGUAAGUCAGUGGUGAAAUCUCCGUGCUUAACAUGGAAACUGCCAUUGAUACUACUGAUCUUGAAUUUUCUGGAGGUAAGCGGAAUAUGUCAUGUAGCGGUGAAAUGCUUAGAUAUGACAUAGGACACCAAUUGCGAAGGCAGCUUACUACAGCGAUAUUGACACUGAGGCACGAAAGCGUGGGGAUCAAACAGG
rnacentral:rRNA from 1 species